rnacentral:rRNA from 1 species
CGCGUAGACAACCUGCCUCUAAACUGGGGACAACACCGCGAAAGUGGUGCUAAUACCGAAUGUGGUAACUUGGCUGCAUGGCUGAGUUAAGAAAGAUGGCCUCUACAUGUAAGCUAUCGUUUAGAGAUGGGUCUGCGUCUGAUUAGCUAGUUGGUGAGGUAACGGCUCACCAAGGCGACGAUCAGUAGCCGGUCUGAGAGGAUGAACGGCCACACUGGGACUGAGACACGGCCCAGACUCCUACGGGAGGCAGCAGUGGGGAAUCUUCCGCAAUGGACGAAAGUCUGACGGAGCAACGCCGCGUGAGGGAUGAAGGCCUUCGGGUCGUAAACCUCUGUCAGGAGGGAAGAACCGCCACGGUGCUAAUCAGCCGUGGUCUGACGGUACCUCCAAAGGAAGCACCGGCUAACUCCGUGCCAGCAGCCGCGGUAAUACGGAGGGUGCGAGCGUUAAUCGGAAUCACUGGGCGUAAAGCGCAC